AUGCAGUUUAUGUUGCUUUUUAGUCGGCAAGGAAAGCUGCGACUACAGAAAUGGUAUGUCCCAUUGUCAGACAAAGAGAAGAAGAAGAUCACAAGAGAACUUGUUCAAACUGUUUUGGCCCGGAAACCGAAAAUGUGCAGCUUUCUUGAGUGGCGAGAUUUGAAGAUUGUUUACAAAAGAUAUGCUAGUUUGUAUUUCUGCUGUGCUAUUGAGGAUCAGGACAAUGAACUAAUUACCCUGGAAAUAAUUCAUCGUUAUGUGGAAUUACUUGACAAGUACUUUGGCAGUGUGUGUGAACUUGAUAUCAUCUUUAAUUUUGAGAAGGCUUAUUUUAUUUUGGAUGAGUUUCUUUUGGGAGGAGAAGUUCAAGAAACAUCCAAGAAAAAUGUGCUUAAAGCCAUUGAGCAGGCCGAUCUCCUGCAGGAGAGCCAGAAUGAAGAAUGGGGAGGUUUGUCUGAGGAUAUCUUAUGAUAAAGAUCAGUCUAAGGCUUUAGUCCUUUUGAAUCCCAACUUACUUAUUGGAUGCAAAAGAAGCUGAAACCCCACGUAGUGUUCUUGAAGAAAUUGGACUGACAUAACUCCUCCCUUGUUGAUGACUUCCUGUGGCAUUUCACACUGUAGAUGGUCACUGCCUUCAUGUCCAUGUUAGCUAAUGGUGUAAGAUGACGUCUUGUCAGUAUUACUGUUUUGCUAAGCUGCUUCAUUCAGGCCUACACUAAAAUUUUUUUUAAAGGGAAUUUUGGUUAGUUAAAUGAUAAGGGACUUCAGUCUGAAUUAGAAUGAUAUAAAAAGAUACCUUUUUUGGAUACCUUAAAGCUGAUAGGUUUGUUUCUCUUAAUCUGAUUACAUGUAUCUAUGAAAAUGGCACAGCCCGGUAACACAUACUUACUAAAUACUGUCUUUGGCAAAGGAAACCAUUAAAUUCGAAUGUAAAACCUGGUUUUAUGAAACCAAAGACUAGUGUAGUACUUGAUCCUAUGUGGGAAUAAAGGGAGUUGACAUGUCACAUGUAUCAAAUGAAUGAAAAUUUAACUGUUAAAACUUACCAAAAAAUCAUACCAAAGACAAUUACUGGAAACUGCAUACCUUAAAACAAAGGGAAUGCUAAAUGACUAAAAUAUUUAGUCACACAAAAUGCUGUUCUACACAAAAUGAUUUUUUUAGCCAUUCUAAAUCUGCGAUGAGGAACAGAGAUCAACUGUUUCAGAGUAGAGAGCUCAUUAUUUUUAAGACCAAGGGAUAUUGGACACCUGAGAAACUUUUCUGUGGUCAUGAUCAUUGAAUCGCUUUGUUGGAUUGUUUCUGAUGCCCCCCAAAUAAGGAGGAAAUUUUGAUUUUUCUGGAAUUCUUUAUCACAGCAUCUUAGGGAAAACCAUGUUACAAAGUGUUAAAGUCCAUGUUUAAAGCACGAAUACUCUUUCUGGGGUAGUGGGUACAGUCAAAUUUAUUUUGCCCCCCUACUGCUCCUCUCCACUUAGAAGUGCUACACACUUGAGGGCAGCUUCCGUCCACGACACUGCUUGGUUAGAAAGGUCUUAGAGAAAUAGAGACUGAUCCCGCCAUUAGAAGUGAACUGAGUGAGGCAAAGGUUUCAGCGGGCUCUCUAUAUUUUUAAAGCUAUCCAGUUGUUCGGGGAUCACUUUUUUACACCUACGUUGUAAACGUCUUCAUGGUUUACACCUUCAUUUGUAUUUGCUGGGCUCGAUUAAGCUUUGUUGUGAUUGUGACCAAUAUUCAGGCCACGUGAGCACUGUCUUACCACAUCGCCAAUGAGUGUAAUAAAUGUUCAACAUACACCACCAUAGUGUGUUUUUAAUCUCUCUUUCCAAAAGUUUGUCAAGCUGGAGAGCUGCUGAAAGAAGAAGUUUUCAUAUUUUUUUCAGUACAAGUUGAACAUUCACCUCCAUUUGUGGUGGUUGUUAAAAGCACACACAAGAUAAAUGGCAGCGGAUUUAAGGGGAGUAUUCAUGUACUUCUUCAAGCUCAUUAAAAAAUAAUGUGGAUUCCAUGCUACUGAGAGCUUAUCUACAUUUAUUUUCAAUCAAUAAAUGCCGCUUUUAAAA